AGUGAACGCUGGCGGUAGGCCUAACACAUGCAAGUCGAACGGCAGCACAGUAAGAGCUUGCUCUUACGGGUGGCGAGUGGCGGACGGGUGAGGAAUACAUCGGAAUCUACUUUUUCGUGGGGGAUAACGUAGGGAAACUUACGCUAAUACCGCAUACGACCUACGGGUUAAAGCAGGGGAUCUUCGGACCUUGCGCGAUUGAAUGAGCCGAUGUCGGAUUAGCUAGUUGGCGGGGUAAAGGCCCACCAAGGCGACGAUCCGUAGCUGGUCUGAGAGGAUGAUCAGCCACACUGGAACUGAGACACGGUCCAGACUCCUACGGGAGGCAGCAGUGGGGAAUAUUGGACAAUGGGCGCAAGCCUGAUCCAGCCAUACCGCGUGGGUGAAGAAGGCCUUCGGGUUGUAAAGCCCUUUUGUUGGGAAAGAAAAGCAGCAGGUUAAUACCCCGCUGUUCUGACGGAACCCAAAGAAUAAGCACCGGCUAACUUCGU
rnacentral:rRNA from 1 species